CAACUCCAAAUAAAAAGGAGGAAUAUGGAAGAAAAAAGAAGAGAAACAACAUGAACAAGAUGCCCCUUCUCUUCUUUAUCUCUCUCUCUCUCUCUUCUCUCUCUCUCUCUCUCU
rnacentral:ribozyme from 13 species